rnacentral:rRNA from 1 species
ACUCCUACGGGAGGCAGCAGUGGGGAAUAUUGGACAAUGGGGGAACCCUGAUCCAGCCAUGCCGCGUGUGUGAAGAAGGCCUUAUGGUUGUAAAGCACUUUAAGCGAGGAGGAGGCUCUUUUGGUUAAUACCUAAAGUGAGUGGACGUUACUCGCAGAAUAAGCACCGGCUAACUCUGUGCCAGCAGCCGCGGUAAUACAGAGGGUGCGAGCGUUAAUCGGAUUUACUGGGCGUAAAGCGUGCGUAGGCGGCUUUUUAAGUCGGAUGUGAAAUCCCUGAGCUUAACUUAGGAAUUGCAUUCGAUACUGGAAAGCUAGAGUAUGGGAGAGGAUGGUAGAAUUCCAGGUGUAGCGGUGAAAUGCGUAGAGAUCUGGAGGAAUACCGAUGGCGAAGGCAGCCAUCUGGUCUAAUACUGACGCUGAGGUACGAAAGCAUGGGGAGCAAACAGGAUUAGAUACCCUGGUAGCUA